GUGCUGUGAUGAUGAGAAAUAUAAUUUUACAGUUAUCCCUAGCUAAUAAUAUAGCAGGUGAUGAAAUUUUGUAAUCUGACAUGCAC